rnacentral:rRNA from 1 species
AUACGGAGGGUGCAAGCGUUAUCCGGAUUUGUUGGGUUUAAAGGGUCCGUAGGCGGAUUAAUCAGUCAGUGGUGAAAUCUCAUAGCUUAACUAUGAAACUGCCAUUGAUACUGUUAGUCUUGAGUGAUGUUGAAGUUGCUGGAAUGUGUAGUGUAGCGGUGAAAUGCUUAGAUAUUACGCAGAACACCAAUUGCGAAGGCAGGUGACUAAACAUAAACUGACGCUGAUGGACGAAAGCGUGGGGAGCGAACAGGAUUAGAUACCCUGGUAGUCCACGCCGUAAACGAUGGAUACUUGCUGUUGGAUUUUCGGAUUCAGUGGCUAAGCGAAAGUUAUAAGUAUCCCACCUGGGGAGUACGUUCGCAAGAAUGAAACUCAAAGGAAUUGACGGGG